UACAGAGGUCUCAAGCGUUGUUCGGAUUUACUGGGCGUAAAGGGCGCGUAGGCGGUCAGCACAAGUCAGUUGUGAAAUCUCCGGGCUUAACUCGGAAAGGUCAACUGAUACUGUGCGACUAGAGUGCAGAAGGGGCAACUGGAAUUCUCGGUGUAGCGGUGAAAUGCGUAGAUAUCGAGAGGAACACCUGCGGCGAAGGCGGGUUGCUGGGCUGACACUGACGCUGAUGCGCGAAAGCCAGGGGGGCGAACGGG
rnacentral:rRNA from 1 species